GGGCCCGUAGCUCAGCCUGGUAGAGCAGCGGCCUUUUAAGCCGCGUGCCGAGGGUUCGAAUCCCUCCGGGCUCG
rnacentral:tRNA from 2 species